AUCAUUUAGAGGAAGGAGAAGUCGUAACAAGGUUUCCGUAGGUGAACCUGCGGAAGGAUCAUUGUCGAAACCUGCAAAGCAGACCGCGAACCCGUGCAUAACUAACGACGUGUGGCGAGGCGCGGGGGCAACCCCCCGUCUAGCCACCGUAUCCCCGCCGGCGUCCUCCCUCGGGUGGCGUCGUGCGGGCUAACGAACCCCGGCGCGGAAUGCGCCAAGGAAAACAAAAACGAAGCGUCCGCCCCCCGCACCCCGUCCGCGGUGCGUGCGGGGGAUCGGCCGUCUAUCAAAAUGUCAUAACGACUCUCGGCAACGGAUAUCUCGGCUCUCGCAUCGAUGAAGAACGUAGCGAAAUGCGAUACUUGGUGUGAAUUGCAGAAUCCCGUGAACCAUCGAGUCUUUGAACGCAAGUUGCGCCCGAAGCCACUAGGCCGAGGGCACGUCUGCCUGGGCGUCACGCAUCGCGUCGCCCCCCCUCCCCGCGCACAGCGCGGCCGAGGUGGGGCGGAUAUUGGCCCCCCGUGUGCCUCGGCGUGCGGUCGGCCCAAAUGCGAUCCCCCGGCGACUYGUGUCGCGACAAGUGGUGGUUGAACAUAUCAAUUCGCCGUCGCGCUCCUGCGUCGUCCGACGGGCAUCACUGAACGACCCAACGGUGUUUUUGCACCUUCGACCGCGACCCC
rnacentral:rRNA from 1 species